GAGGGUAUGGCUCAGUGGUAGAGCACAUGCUUAGCAUACAUGAGGUCCUGGGUUCAAUUUCCAGUACCUCCA
rnacentral:tRNA from 1 species